UUGAUGAUCGGUGCUUGCACCGAGAUUCAACAUGGAACGAGUGGCGGACGGGUGAGUAACACGUGGGUAACCUGCCCUUAAGUGGGGGAUAACAUUUGGAAACAGAUGCUAAUACCGCAUAGAUCCAAGAACCGCAUGGUUCUUGGCUGAAAGAUGGCGUAAGCUAUCGCUUUUGGAUGGACCCGCGGCGUAUUAGCUAGUUGGUGAGGUAAUGGCUCACCAAGGCGAUGAUACGUAGCCGAACUGAGAGGUUGAUCGGCCACAUUGGGACUGAGACACGGCCCAAACUCCUACGGGAGGCAGCAGUAGGGAAUCUUCCACAAUGGACGCAAGUCUGAUGGAGCAACGCCGCGUGAGUGAAGAAGGCUUUCGGGUCGUAAAACUCUGUUGUUGGAGAAGAAUGGUCGGCAGAGUAACUGUUGUCGGCGUGACGGUAUCCAACCAGAAAGCCACGGCUAACUACGUGCCAGCAGCCGCGGUAAUACGUAGGUGGCAAGCGUUAUCCGGAUUUAUUGGGCGUAAAGCGAGCGCAGGCGGUUUUUUAAGUCUGAUGUGAAAGCCCUCGGCUUAACCGAGGAAGCGCAUCGGAAACUGGGAAACUUGAGUGCAGAAGAGGACAGUGGAACUCCAUGUGUAGCGGUGAAAUGCGUAGAUAUAUGGAAGAACACCAGUGGCGAAGGCGGCUGUCUGGUCUGUAACUGACGCUGAGGCUCGAAAGCAUGGGUAGCGAACAGGAUUAGAUACC
rnacentral:rRNA from 2 species